GUUUAAAUUAGAUUGUUGUCAUUAAAUUGUUCUUAUUUAAAAAAAAUGUUCUUUUAUAUUACUCAAUGGUUUCCUUUUGUUUGUUGCUAUUGUUUUUUUAACCUUUGUACUUUUGAAAAGUCAGCAUUUUGGGUUCUCCUGUUGACCUCCCUCCAGGAGACUUGGAGACACUUAGUAAAGAACCAGGAAAUGUUACCCUGGGUCAGAAGAGUUCCAUCCUGCCAGGGCUCAACUCUGUACUUAGGCAUUAGCGGAAAGACCUCUAGAUGCCUUAAAAUAUCCCCUGAUGAACUGAUUCUACUUGUCUUUUUUCUUCCUUCUUUUCUUUCUCUCCCUUCCCUUCUCCCCCCUCUGUCUCUCUCUAUUCUUCCUAUCUCCCUCCCUUCCUCCUAAAACCUUCUUAAUACUGUAUCUUGGAACUCUCACUGAGUCACUAGCUCCAUUAAUUAUGGGGACUUAUCAGAGCUCCUACCAUCUUUCAACCUCUGAUUCUGAGAAUCAGAAAGUGUCCUCCCCAGGACCUCUCAGUGAAGCACAGAGGCGAUUUCAGGAGACACUGCCUUGCUCACAUCCAAGGCUCCAACUACAACAACAACCACUACUCCAACAACGACCACCACUACUACUACUCAAAGAAAAACGACCAUGACUACUACACCUCCAAGAGAAACAACCGAGGCUAUUACUCCAACAACGACCGAAACUAAUCAGACAAAAUCUACUGCUUCAACAACCACCAUCACCACACUCCAAUGACAACCACCGCUGUUCCAAAAAUGACCACCACUACUACUCCAGUAACAACUGCCACCACUACUUCAACAAUCACGAUGAUCACCACUGUUCCAAUGACAACGAAGGCUUCUACCUCUGCUCUUCCAAUGGCAACACCCACAGAGGACUUCCAGCCAGGUAAACAGAUGUGCUUCUGAUGCUAGAAGGCUUUAAAGGAGAGGAUAUUGACUAUGCAGAGCACUGUGUUAAGUCAGAUGUACAAUCUAAGGUAAGGAUUCUUAACAGGCUUCCAAAGCUGGCUCUACAGAGUCUGUGAAUCCCCUGUCCCCUGUUAUAUUCACCUUUUAUAUCUAUAAGCAUUUACAGAGUGAAGGAGACCUAAGGCUUUUUAUCAGACUCUCAAGAAAUUCAUUAAUACAAAAAAAAACAAAACAAAACAAAAACCCAGAUCACUGAUCUUGGACAUCUAAGGAGAAUGGCUCAUUUUAACACAGAAUUAUGACGGAAAAAUAAGGAUGCCAGAACAGGGCCUGGUGAAUGAGAUUCUGCCCUUUCAAGGAGCUCAGAAUAGAGAUAAUUUAAUCCAUUCUAAAGCCUAACCCAACACAUGAGGAUAAGAUUUCAGUGAAGUUAAUGCUUACUCUGUUUUCUGUGUCAGGAAACAUGCUAACUGCUUUACAACUAUUAGGCCACUUAAUUUUUAUGACAACCCUACCCAUUGUCAUUGUCCCUGGUGGCUCAGACGGUAAAGCGUCUGCCUGCAAUGUGGGAGACCUGGGUUCGAUUCCUGGGUUGGGAAGAUCCCCUGGAGAAGGAAAGGGCAACCCACUCCAGCAGUCUUGCCUGGAAAAUCCCAUGGACAGAGGAGCCUGAUAGGCUAUGGUCCAUGGGGUCAGGAAGAGUCGGACAUGACUGAGCAACUUCACUUCACUCACCUAUUGUCAGUGUGAUUCAAUCCUACCUUAUAUCCCUGAGGACUGAGGCACAGAGUCUGAGUUCAUUGUUGUUUCUGUUCAUUCAUAUGAAUAGAAAAUGGUUGGGUCUAGAUAGUGGGUCUAGCUAGUUUGGUCUAGCAUUAAUUUGAAUGCUGGCCUUUGCUGCAUUCUAUACUGAACAUAGAGUUUAUGUUUGGAUGAGUUUGUUCUGAUCUGACAUCCUCACUGGAAAAGCUUUCAUACAAUUACCCUGCUUUUUCGGGGUGUCAGUGACUUACACAUUUUGCUUCUAACCUCCUUUGUUCAUGUAUCAGAGGAAUGUCAUUUAUACUGAUGACAAAGUAAACAUCAGAUUUAAGUAUUAUGCAAUUUAGAAUGCAUACACUUGUUUUUUUAAAUUCAGACUACAGUGUUCAUACUUCAAAUUUCUGUUAGAUCAUAGUUUAGGUUUAAUAUAAAUGGAGAAUAUUUUUGAAUUAUAGAUGUGGAAAUAACUCAUUUUGAGGACAUGUUUGGGUUCAAACUUUCUCUUUUUAGGAUUAAAAAGAUAAUUUUUAUGUGGAGAUUCUCAAAGCCUCCACAACCCUUUGGCACUUUGAAGUGGCUCUAGAACUGAAAAGUAACAGAAAUAUCACAAACUCUUAGCCAAAAUGUCUGUGGGAACACAUUGAUUGAUUUCCCAUCACCCCUGUUGAUCCAUGUGUGUAUUCAGUGAGGAGGGAUCUGAAGGAUUUUCUUCAAGUUGAAUUUGGAAGGAGGUCUUUAGGUUGAAAGUGGGAUUUUUACAGCCAUAAAAGUUUGCAAGAAAAAUACACUAGAGCAUCUGUUGACUUUUUCAAUAUUGAUUUAGCUUAAUAGUUUGUGACUGCUGAGGUGGAUGGAUUAGAGUUCCUGUUUUGAGGGACAUGUGUACGUUAUGGCCUUUGUUUAAAGCAGAAGUUCAGAAGGAAGGUGUUGGUGCAUAUGUUCGUGUGACCUCCUAGAGGCAGUAUUAGUUGAGUCUUAUACAUGUCCUGAUAGUCUCCUAGUGAGUUUGAGUUCAGAGUUGAACUUUACAGUAUGGAAAGGAUGUUAGCACUGGAACAGAUCUAUAGCAGGGGCAUUUGUAUUUACAUUCAUUCCCUCUCUGUGCUCUGUGCCCUUGUCCAUGCUAGUUGCCUAGAAUAUUCCUGAACUGGUUGGAAGUAAAGUCCUAGGAGAACAGGAGAACAGAAAAAAUGCCCACAAAGACCAAAACUACAGAAAGAAGUUAAGAUCAACAGGUCUUCUGCACAGAUAUAAGUUGAAUGAAGACUGUGAUCAUUUGAUUUUGUUUUAUUGUCCUGUUCUUAAUUCCUAAAGAGAGCCAUAUCCUGCUACAAAUUUGAGCAUUAGGCAAAAGCAAAGCCAAAAAAAAAAAAAAAAAAGAAGAAGAAGAAGAAGAGAAAAGAAAUACACCACCAACAAGAAUGACCAAAAAACUCCCAUAAAAACAAAAACAAAAGAUAGCUCAGAACAAGAGAACAGGUAAUGUUGAAAUGUGAAGUCCAUGGUGAGAAAGUGGAAAGAAGACCAAUGAGAGGCAAUGGGGAAAGCCUAGGUUUGAGAACUCUUGUUCAGCCAGCACCGCUGCCUUGCUCUAAAAUUCUGUGAUGCUCUCAGAGGAAGGGAUAUAAAAAUCUUAUUACGAGGCAACUGGUCAACUCUGCAGGUCAGGUGAGAUGUUUGAUAGAAAAUAAAGGAGAGAUAUCAAGCAAAGGAAAAAGGAAACAUAGCCCUGAGAAUUCUGAGUAAACUUUCUGGUGAGAAAUAGAUGAGUCAGAUAACAUAUGAAAUCAGUCUUAUGAAAGGAGUGAUCAG
ensembl:lncRNA